rnacentral:lncRNA from 1 species
UCUGGGUCAGCCUGGGUCCCUGGUGUUGCCCUUUCCAGAGAAGCCUUGGCCAGUGCUCCACCAGAGCCUGGGGAGAGAACAUACCUGUGAGGAAGCCCUGGGGACUGUUUACACCUAUCCCUGGCAGAGAUUCUUCUGUGGACCAGGGCAGUCCAGGAGGUUGGGCCCUUACCCACUGACGGGGGCUAUGCCUGCGGCAGUCAAGUCCCCCGCAGGGUGGCACCCAGCAAGUUCUCUGCUGCAGAGAGCCCCCAGGCUGAGAAGACAACAGGCAGAGGCGAGAGCAAGAGCGGAACCUCCAGGUGCGGGCAGGUAAACUUAGGUGGGCGGGGCGUCCAGGGCCGCGCGUCAUUGGCCGAUUGCACACCUGUGCUCUCAGUGCUCUUGUCCUCAGAGCUCACUCCCCUGUGAGUAUCUCCAGGAGGACUCCCAGAGGAGUCACACGCUUCCAUGCUCUGUUGGGCUCUUCCCCUCCACAGCAUUGUGACUCUCCACUCAGUCACCAUGACAGAUCUCCAUACCACCUUUGCUGUCGCCCAGAGGGCCCACCUGCCCACUCAGGACCACAUUGGCCACACCUGCUCACCUGGGCUGCUAGGGCCACUGCGCCAACCGUCCUAGGCCACUGCUUGCUGCUGCCUUUGGCUGACAUCAGUCCAGGAUGUGAGGCCAUGGCAGUGCUAUAUAACACUUCCCAAACACAUUCCCAUCUGUCGGGGCUGGAGCUCCAGAGGCCAACAGUGGCAAUCAGAUGA